rnacentral:ncRNA from 1 species
AGGUCAUGAGGAUCGACGGAUUGGUAGCUCUUUCUUGAUUCGUUGGUUGGUGGUACAUGGCCGUUCUUAGCUGGUGGAGCGGUUUGUCUGGUUAAUUCCGAUAACGAACAAGACUUUGGCCUGCCAAAUAGUACGCCUGACCUCUGUGCUCGUGCAGGUGGCGGCACUCGUUGCCUCUCUGGGGUGAUAUUACCGCUCGCCGGCGGUUGCGGCGCAGGUGUCUGCUUCAUAGAGGGACAAGCGGCGUGCCAGUCGCUCGCGCUUGAGCAAUAACAGGUCUGUGGUUCCCCUAGAU